rnacentral:rRNA from 1 species
GUGAGGAAUAUUGGUCAAUGGGCGCUAGCCUGAACCAGCCAAGUAGCGUGAAGGAUGACUGCCCUAUGGGUUGUAAACUUCUUUUAUAUGGGAAUAAAGUGCAGUAUGUAUACUGCUUUGCAUGUACCUUAUGAAUAAGGAUCGGCUAACUCCGUGCCAGCAGCCGCGGUAAUACGGAGGAUCCGAGCGUUAUCCGGAUUUAUUGGGUUUAAAGGGAGCGUAGGCGGGUUGUUAAGUCAGUUGUGAAAGUUUGCGGCUCAACCGUAAAAUUGCAGUUGAUACUGGCAUCCUUGAGUACAGUAGAGGUAGGCGGAAUUCGUGGUGUAGCGGUGAAAUGCUUAGAUAUCACGAAGAACUCCGAUUGCGAAGGCAGCCUGCUGGACUGUAACUGACGCUGAUGCUCGAAAGUGUGGGUAUCAAACAGG